GCAGAAAUGAUCUUUUGGUUUUGCAGCUGUUUUUCAUUUUUUUAGGGGUUAUUUUAUGCAGUGGCCCGUUCCGCAGAUCCUUCACCCACCGUCUUUCUUAUUACACAUCUUCCCCACCGCCUUCGUGUUCGAACAGUCCUAAUUUCCCGGUGAUUUUAUCCCACACCAAUCGACCCUUCUAGUUUCUUCCUUCCACUGAUUCUUAUCCAAACCUUCGGUUCUCUUUCUUCCUUCCUUCUUACACCGGUUUCAUCCCCCUGAUUUUGUCUCCUUCCUACUUCCGGUUGUUGAUGAGGGUGAUUAGGAUUUCAUCGACAACAAUUCUAGCCUACAAAAGCCACCGACUUCCACACCCGUUUGCUACUAAUGGGUUCUAUCAAUUUCCAUAGCAAUUUUUCGAUUUCCCUAUAUGUAUAGACCUAAUUUUUACACGGAUUUAAGCUAUCAGUUGCAGGGAAAAUUGGUGAAGGGUUUUCACAUUAGGUUUAUUCUCCAACUAAAGCAAGGUGCAUUUGGAAUCGCCGAUGAGCAAGAUGAUUGGAGCUAGUGGUGUUUCGGCAGAGCAUAAUGCGAUUCCAUGGAUGCAAGCUCGAUUUUCUCUUCUUUUAUCAAGUUACGGCUUCUUAAGUUAUUUAUCUUCAGUUAUUUCUUAUAGAAGGUAAUACCCUGUAAUUUCGAAUCCCUAUUUCUUCCAUUAUUUAUCUCAAAUAUCUUACUUUAUUUUUUUUUUUUGUGAUGAGAAAACAACAAGCUUUGAUUCCUCCUGUUGUCAUUCUCAACUUUGUUGUAUUCAGUAUUAUAGUAUUAUUCAGUUUAGCACAAUCUUCUAUUUUUAGGGUUCUUCAGUCAAUUGGUUGUUAGAUUUUGGAAUUGUUUUUGUUUGUUUGUUAUAUUGGAUUGCAAAAGCCUACAAAUUAACUUCAAGUUUAAAUUCCUUAUGAAACAUUCCUCAUUGACUUCUUUGGAGGAAAGUUGAACAGGUUUGAUUUUACCAAAAAGAAGUGAAUACACAAAUGGUUGCUGUACUGCACAUGAGGUUCUUUAAAUUUUUUUAAACUUAAAUUUCUUUAAUGUUCGUGGUCAAUUCUGGAGCCAAUGCUAAUUGUGCUCAGUUCUUAUCACCGUUGUCAAAUCCGAUUGGUUUUUAUUAAGAUAUUAUGUGAGCACACUUGAAUGCUUUAGUUUUGUAUAUGUUUGUUCAUUCACCUAUUGGAAUUGAAGAUAAAACAACAGAAGGCUGAAGCAAGGGCAAAAAAGGUAUAUUUCAUUUUCGUCAGAUUUUACGGUUUCCAUGUUCCAGGACUUGGGUAGUAACAUAUACAGUGGAAAUCACAUUGUAAGUGUGUUAAAAGAUCAUUUUACAAAUUUUAGAUUUCACACAUAUUUUAAAAAAGUUUCCACCAUUUGUUUUAUUUAUCUACUAUAACAUGCUACUUUAAUUUCUGUCUAUUAAAACUUUUUUUUUCAUAACUAUUUUAAACCUCAUAUCCAUGCCAUAUUAUUCAAUAGCAUCCUACUUUACUAUUGUAGAUUAGAUUGACUUUGUGGUUGACUUUUAUGUACCAUGAUUCUAAUUUGUAGCACAUCUCCAACAAUUCCUUUAAUACGGCGCAACAAACUUCAAUGGAUAAUGUGAGAGGUGUAGUUAUUAAAGGUCGUCGAGACUUGUGUAUUUAUUUAUUUAUUUAUUUAUUAACAAAGACUUAUUAUGGACUUUUUACUGAGUUUAUUUAGUUGAUGUGGUUUUAGUAAAAAAAUUUACAGAAAGGGGUGCUGAGAUUUUCGAGUAAUAAUAAUAGUAAAGGAAUUCCAUGGAAGGGUAUUUUAGAUUUUGGAGAGGAUGUGUUCCACAAAAUUCGUACUACAAUCGACCUAAAAGAUAAAUGGAGAAACUUAUGCAUAGGAAGCCCUGCCAAAAAGAAGCAAAAGAAGCAAAAACUAUAAAAUUGUGACCAUAUUGCCCCUGCACUGUUUUUAUAUUUAAAAAAUUCAAUUUUUACAGUUUUAGGACGACAUUUGCCCCUGAACACUGUUUUUAUAUUAUUAAAAAUGAAUUUAUAUAGUUUUAGGACGAUAUUACCCCUGCACACUCUUUUAUUAUUAAAAAAAAAGUUUGCAUUUUUAGGACCAUAUUGCCCCUGCACACAUUUUAUAUUAAUAAACUUAAUUUUUUUCAGCUUUAGGAUCGUAUUGCCCCUGCACACUAUUAUUAUAUUAAUAAAAUUCAGUUUUUACAGUUUUAAGUUAAUGUAGGUAAUAGGUAUUGAUGUUUCAGAUUUAGACCGUCUUAUGUUUGAAUCAAAAAAUUCAAAGUUUAUUAUUCUAUUUUUUUUCUCCUUUGUUGUAGGUUGACUUCAAGAAGAUGUCAUUUCAAGGUAACAGGAUUUGUAUGCAGUUUAUACAGGUUGUUUGCUAUUAAUGUGGUGUGAUGCUACAAAGAGGUGUAUGACCAAGUGUAUGAGAUUGAACUCACGUUUGAGUAGUAAUUAAUGCAUCAGUUGCUAUAGUACGACGGAUAAUUGCUUCUCGGGUACUUGCAAAACCAAAAAGAUACUCACUACUUGAUAAAGCAAAUCUCAUUGAUUUAUAUAAAAGAGUUCAUGUCGGUAGGAGGGUGGCGUAUGGCAUCCAUAAAACAUGCCCUGAUGUAGCUAAGGUAGAAUUAAAGUUUGAACAUCGAAAUAGUAAAGAUUGUAGCUACGGCCCUCUGUAUGAGUGGCAACUCUAUAUAACGUUGAAUGGAUAUUACGGGAUUUCAUAGGUUCACUACAAGGAUAGACAAGGAGUCAAGCAAUGAAAAAAUUGAUUCAACUUCAUGCGGUUGAAAAUUGAUUUGAAAUUGUUCCAUGUUAAUGAAUGCUAGCUCAUAUACAUAUGCACAAGAGCAACAAUAUUUUUAGCAUGAUAUACUUCCAAGAAAUGAAGAAACCCUUUCACAGCCACCACAACUUGAAUCGCGGGAUUCCAGAUCAGGUUCCAUUUUCAUUUCGUGGAAGGAAUGAUGCAUUUAAGAUAAACAAGGGACUGAUUCGGAAACAACAUUUAAAGCUUCUGGCCCCCGCAACCUUUCUAGUUUAUUAUAAUAACUCUUAUUUCAUAGUUAACUAAUGUCAUUUUUAAUAAUAUGUUUGUAAUUUUUUAUAUAUUAUUUAACUUAUAUAACAAGUGAAUAUUCUUCUAGUUUUUUAUAUUCAAAACAUGUAAAAAAGUAUUGCAAUGAAUAAUAUAUAUUUUCGUCUAAA